rnacentral:rRNA from 1 species
UGAGGAAGAUAAUGACGGUACUCAACAAGGAAGUGACGGCUAACUACGUGCCAGCAGCCGCGGUAAAACGUAGGUCACAAGCGUUGUCCGGAAUUACUGGGUGUAAAGGGAGCGCAGGCGGGAGAACAAGUUGGAAGUGAAAUCCAUGGGCUCAACCCAUGAACUGCUUUCAAAACUGUUUUUCUUGAGUAGUGCAGAGGUAGGCGGAAUUCCCGGUGUAGCGGUGGAAUGCGUAGAUAUCGGGAGGAACACCAGUGGCGAAGGCGGCCUACUGGGCACCAACUGACGCUGAGGCUCGAAAGUGUGGGUAGCAAACAGGAUUAGAUACCCUGGUAGUCCACACCGUAAACGAUGAUUACUAGGUGUUGGAGGAUUGACCCCUUCAGUGCCGCAGUUAACACAAUAAGUAAUCCACCUGGGGAGUACGACCGCAAGGUUGAAACUCAAAGGAAUUGACGGGGGCCCGCACAAGCAGUGGAGUAUGUGGUUUAAUUCGACGCAACGCGAAGAACCUUACCAAGUCUUGACAUCCCUUGACGAUGCUGGAAACAGCAUUUCUCUUCGGAGCAAGGAGACAGGUGGUGCAUGGUUGUCGUCAGCUCGUGUCGUGAGAUGUUGGGUUAAGUCCCGCAACGAGCGCAACCCUUAUGGUCAGUUACUACGCAAGAGGACUCUGGCCGGACUGC